rnacentral:rRNA from 1 species
GUGGGGAAUUUUGGACAAUGGGCGAAAGCCUGAUCCAGCAAUGCCGCAUGCAGGAAGAAGGCCUUCGGGUUGUAAACUGCUUUUGUACGGAACGAAACGGUCCGGGUUAAUACCCUGGGCUAAUGACGGUACCGUAAGAAUAAGCACAGGCUAACUACGUGCCAGCAGCCGCGGUAAUACGUAGGGUGCAAGCGUUAAUCGGAAUUACUGGGCGUAAAGCGUGCGCAGGCGGUUUUGUAAGACAGGCGUGAAAUCCCCGGGCUCAACCUGGGAAUUGCGCUUGUGACUGCAAGGCUGGAGUGCGGCAGAGGGGGAUGGAAUUCCGCGUGUAGCAGUGAAAUGCGUAGAUAUGCGGAGGAACACCGAUGGCGAAGGCAAUCCCCUGGGCCUGCACUGACGCUCAUGCACGAAAGCGUGGGGAGCAAACAGGAUUAGAUACCCGAGUAGUCC